UACAGAGGUCCCGAGCGUUAGCCGGAAUCACUGGGCUUAAAGCGUGUGUAGGCGGCGUUCUAAGUACCUUGUGAAAUCCCACGGCUCAACCGUGGAACUGCUUGGUAUACUGGUUCUCUUGAGCCACCUAGGGGCAACCGGAACAAACGGUGGAGCGGUGAAAUGCGUAGAUAUCGUUUGGAACGCCAAUGGUGAAAACAGGUUGCUGGGGGUGUGCUGACGCUGAGACACGAAAGCCAGGGGAGCAAACGGG
rnacentral:rRNA from 1 species